GAGGAACUUUAUAGUGGCAUGGUUUUAGUUGAUGAAUAUGAAUAUGAUAUGAGUCUCGUGGAGAGAUUUUGUAGUGGUAUGGUAUUAGUGUACACAUUGAUGUUGAGAGUCUCGUUGGGAAGGUUAUCUUGAUACUUUAAUAACUAUCCAGUCUCAAGUAGAGAAGGAUGAGUUAUGUGGUGAGAGGGGCAGGAGGUCCUAAUUUAUGUGCCGAUUUUUGACAUAGGUGUUAACGGACUAACCUUGUGGUGACAGAUUGGGUUGUAUUUGACUAGGAUUUUUGUUGCAUAGGGAGUGUAAGUCACCACAAGUGUAAGACCAUCCGAGACUUCCAUCAAUGUUCUAUCCGGAUAAUAAAGUCUAGUAUAAUCAUUGGUGUCUGAUAUGAAUUUUUAUUGAAAAUGAAGUAUGUGUAAUAAUUAUGUUAUACCUUAUUUUAAUAUUCUCUCUCAUGGUAGCUUACCCUUACUUUUUGUGUGUGUGCCGAAAAAUUAUAUUUUUGCGAUGAUCGUAUAAUGUAUAUGUUAUACGGGAGCAGAUGAGGGAAUGUUGUCUAAUCCAGUACAAGUGAAGAUAGAGGCAGAAGAAUAGUAGAGAAGAGUUUGAGUUAUCUUUAUGGGAGGGAAGUUGAAAUCUAAGUUUAAAAUGUGUAAUUAGUGUGAAAAUCUUUAUACUUCCUGGUGGAAGAUUAUGUAAGUGUUACAGUUCUCAUAUUAUUUAUAAAAAAAAAAUUAGUUUGAGAAUUUUGGGAUGUUACACCACCUAACCUAACCCUAACUGUCGCUGCCACACUCACGAUCAACCACCAUCUUCUCACCUCUAUCAUCAGACAUUUCAAAACCACCACCACCGUUGUUCAUCUUCUCCGUCCAACAACCACCCAAAAACACCAUCGUGACCAUCUUCCCCUUCCUCCACCAUGAAUCACCAUCAACAUCUUGUCGCGACAACCAUAACCGCCGCAAUGAGACAGUGAGCCAUGCACGAGCUUAUCUUCUCCGUCAAGUCUUCAACCUGCAAAGGGAAAUACAGAGAAUGAAAAAGCCAAUUGGAGCAUAAUCACCGCAGCGAAAACGUCAUUCUCCAUCAAUCUUCAUCUUCUCC
rnacentral:lncRNA from 1 species